rnacentral:pre_miRNA from 1 species
GUUUACCUGUGUGUGGAUGGUGUUCAGCACCAAGGACAGAUAUGCUCCCUUAUGGUGUAUGGUGUUCAGUACCAGGGACAGGUGUGUUUACCU